AAUAACUCGGCGAAAGUCGGGCUAAUACCGCAUGUGAUCCUUCGGGAUUAAAGCCUUCGGGCGCUAAAGGAGGGGCCUGCGUCUGAUUAGCUUGUUGGUAAGGUAAUGGCUUACCAAGGCGAUGAUCAGUAGCUGGUUCGAGAGGAUGAUCAGCCACACUGGAACUGAGAUACGGUCCAGACUCCUACGGGAGGCAGCAGUAAGGAAUCUUCCGCAAUGGACGAAAGUCUGACGGAGCAACGCCGCGUGCAGGAUGAAGGCUUUCGGGUCGUAAACUGCUUUUGUAUGGGAAGAUUAUGACGGUACCAUACGAAUAAGGACCGGCUAACUACGUG
rnacentral:rRNA from 1 species